rnacentral:tRNA from 1 species
GGAGAGUUAUCGAAGUGGUCACAACGAGCCGCACUCGAAAUGCGGUAUACCGUUACCGGUAUCAAGAGUUCGAAUCUCUUACUCUCCGCCA